ensembl:lncRNA
UUUUGCUGUGAACAGACUCGAGACCUCCACUGAGACCACAUUGAGGUCGAGAUGCUCAACAUGGGGGCUUUGCUGCUGUUACUAAUCAGUGUGACUGAUGGUGUGAAGACCUUCUGCGACGCCACACAGGAAGAAUACACAGCCCGGUGCUUCGGCUCCCUGGGAGGAACCCUGGAGGUCAAGCUGUCCAAGACCUCAAGGCCUUUCAAUAUGAAGUGAAGCAAAACAAUGUUCUGAUUGUUCUUUCGACCCUCAGAUAUUAAACCCUCGAUUUUCAAUCACUUAUUCCUAGAAUAUUAACUGUAAAGGACCUCAACAGGUCGGACAAUGGUGAAUACUCAAUGCGUGACAUAUUUGGCUUAAGAAGAACAACAAAUUAUUUUUAUUUAUCCAUUGAAGCCCCGGUCUCCUCUCCCCUCCUGUCCCGGGAGUGUCUGUCCCGGGGACAGCAGAGGGUGUCCUGCGCUGCAGAGGGGGACGGACCCCACUACAGCUGGAGUCUAGACGGACUCCCGCUGAAUGCCACACGUCUCCUCUCUGGACCCAGUAACGCUAGUGACAUCACUCUGGAGCCGGGCCUGUCGGGGCUGAUCACCUGCUCGGUCCGCAACAACGUGAGCGCCGCGGCGGCUACAUUCACCCUGUCUUUGUGUGACGACCCCAUCCCUAUCAUCGCCCGUUUUCUGACGGUGGUGGGGCUGCUGCUAGUAGCAUUGGCAGUCUACUGGGCCCUGAAGAAAAAGAAAACUUCAAGACCUCAAGACAUCCCGCUGUCCUCCAUGGCAGGAGAUGAUGACGGACUGUACGUUAAUAUCUCGAGGGCGACCGGGGGAGCAGGGGGGGAUUGAGGAGGAGUACGGCCACUCCAGGCUCCAGGCCUCAGAGUGAGGAGGAGUACGGGACGGUCCAGGCUCCAGGCCUCAGAGUGAGGAGGAGUACGGGACGGUCCAGGCUCCAGGCCUCAGAGUGAGGAGGAGUACGGGACGGUCCAGGCUCCAGGCCUCAGAGUGAGGAGGAGUACGGGACGGUCCAGGCUCCAGGCCUCAGAGUGAGGAGGAGUACGGGACGGUCCAGGCUCCAGGCCUCAGAGUGAGGAGGAGUACGGGACGGUCCCGGCCGCUCUAGGCACGAUAAAAUCCUUAUCGACCCGACAGCGAUAUAUACGUUUCUCUUUCUUCUGACAAAUGUACUUACUGUAAGUCGCUUUGGAUAAAUGCAUCUGAUAAAUGCCCUUAAAUGUUAAUGUGAUUGUUUCAAUUAAUCAAUUAAUUAAAAAUAUGUAUGUUUGCUUUUGCUUUCUGCUAGAUCUUAAAUACAUUGCACUUUCUACAAUGCAAUUUUAAUUCUGCCUGUUUUCUUUUCCUCAUCUUUUUUCUUUUUGAGUUUUAGAACAGUUUUAGGGAGAAAUAUGCAUUUCAUUUCCAUUAUCUUCGUUCAGUGAUUGAACAUGUUUAAUUUGUUGGUUAGUACGAAUGACCUUUCAGGUCUCCCCCCGAAAUGUGUUGCAAUACAAAGUUUUGUGUUGAAACCACGGCUUGCAUGUUGUCUGAAUCAUUGUCUUUGUGUUCUGUAGUAAUCUGAGCUCAAUUGUUUUUACUGUUGUUACUAUUUGGUGUUUUUUCUAUAGGGUGACCAGAUUUCCGGAAACUAAAACCGGGACACCUUGCGCCUGACCGCUGUUAUGAUAAACGAUGCUGAACCCAA